rnacentral:misc_RNA from 1 species
AGCAGCCGCGGUAAUUCCAGCUCCAAUAGCGUAUAUUAAAGUUGUUGCAGUUAAAAGCUCGUAGUUGAAUUUCGGGAUCAAUUUGCUGGUCGGAACCUCUGGUACGUACUGGUAUUAUUGAUUUCUUUCAUUCUGAUAGAUCAUGGAUGUCAUUAAUUUGAUGACUUUGAGGAAUCGGAACUUUUACUUUAGAAAAAUUAGAGUGUUUAAAGCAGGCUUAUCAGGCUUGAAUACAUUAGCAUGGAAUAAUGAAAUAGGACGAUUGA